rnacentral:rRNA from 1 species
AAACUCAAAGGAAUUGACGGGGGCCCGCACAAGCGGUGGAGCAUGUGGUUUAAUUCGACGCAACGCGAAAAACCUUACCUGGGUUUUGACAUGCCGAGUACCCGAUGGAAACAUUGGGGUGCCCCGUAAGGGGAACUUGGACACAGGUGCUGCAUGGCUGUCGUCAGCUCGUGCCGUGAGGUGUUGGGUUAAGUCCCGCAACGAGCGCAACCCUCACCCUUAGUUGCCAUCAUUAAGUUGGGCACCCUAAGGGAACUGCCGCAGUUAAUGCGGAGGAAGGUGGGGAUGACGUCAAGUCCUCAUGGCCCUUAUAUCCAGGGCUACACACGUGCUACAAUGGGCGGUACAAAGGGUCGCGAACCUGUAAGGGGGAGCUAACCCCAGAAAACCGUUCUCAGUUCGGAUUGGAGUCUGCAACCCGACUCCAUGAAGUUGGAAUCGCUAGUAAUCGCGGAUCAGAACGCCGCGGUGAAUACGUUCCCGGGCCUU